rnacentral:rRNA from 1 species
UACGUAGGGUGCAAGCGUUGCCCGGAUUUAUUGGGCGUAAAGGGCGCGUAGGCGGCUCUGCACGUUCGUUGUGAAAUCGCCCGGCUCAACUGGGCGGGGUCAGCGGAUACGGCAGAGCUUGAGCAAGCUAGGGGGCAAUGGAAUUCCCGGUGUAGUGGUGAAAUGCGUAGAGAUCGGGAGGAACACCAGUGGCGAAGGCGACUACCUGGACCAGCACUGACACUGAGGCACGAAAGCGUGGGGAGCAAACAGG